rnacentral:rRNA from 1 species
AACGAACGCUGGCGGCAGGCUUAACACAUGCAAGUCGAACGCGUGUAGCAAUACACGAGUGGCGCACGGGUGAGUAACGCGUGGAUAUCUGCCUUUUGGUUCGGAAUAACCCCGGGAAACUGGGGCUAAUACCGGAUGGUUCCUUCGGGAUAAAGAUUUAUCGCCAAAAGAUGAGUCCGCGUACGAUUAGCUAGUUGGUGAGGUAAUGGCUC